UCAAUCUCGUGCGGCUCGAAGCCGCCGGUCCCUCUAAGAAGAAUUUUAAUACGUCGCCAGUGAGUUGCGUGACAGAGCCACGCACACCUAAAUGGCGACGCCUAUUUAGCAGGCUAGAGUCUCGUUCGUUAC
rnacentral:rRNA from 1 species